CAGCUGCUGACUCAACAGUGUAUCACGAUCAACAACAACCCAAACAAUUUAGGUUACCAACAAUCUAUCACUUUAAUUUGUGGCAAUAGCGAAACACGUAACAAAUUGGGAAAAUAAGUGUUUACAAGUGUGGAUAUAGAAACAUAUAAAUACAGACAGGUAAACAUUGAGAAUGUCGGCCCAGCAACCACCACAGGUAGUAACUGUACAACCAGGAACAGUAGCUGUAGGAGGAUGUCCAACAUGUGGUGUCGGACACAUAUCUGAGGAUUUCACAAUGAUAGGAAUAAUCCUGGCCAUUCUAUUCUUCCCUCUAGGAAUACUGUGUUGUUUAAUGAUGAAGGAAAAGAAAUGUGACAGAUGUGGUGCUAAGUUUUAAGCAGACAUUAAAACGAGGAGCGUAUCUAUAAUAUAUUGUACAUGUACAUGUAUUUCAAACUUUUUGUAUCUUAUACCUUGUUGAGAAACAAACAAGUGCUGCAUUUAACAGGGGCUAAAACAAAUGGAAGUUUAAUGUGAAAAGAUAUGAAUCUGAAACAUGUUUUGACUAAAAUGACCUUUCAUUAAAAGUAAAAAUUUCAUGAAGCAUUUCCUUACAAUAUUAAGUUUAUAGUGUCAAACAUAUGUGUAAGAAUUACUUUAAGAUACAUUCCUAUCUAAAUAAUAAAAUACAAAGUUAGAUUUAAACAUGAAUUCUAAAAAUUUUAACAAAGCGUUUUUAAUUAAAAAUGUGACGAUAUAAAACAGAAAAAAUUGAAGGGGAGAAAAAAGCAUUGGAUUAGAUACAAAUUAUUUUAAUGCAAUAAUGGCACAUUUUUAAAUACAUGUAUGAUUAACAUUUUAAUUAAAAAGGACAUUAUCUUUCAUUCUUAAACUAUGCAUUUAUGCAUUUGUUGCCUUACAUUAUAGCGUAAACAUGUGUAUGAUUGGACCAAAACACAUUUCAUAGUUUUUUUGUGUGAUAAGACCCUCCUUGUCAUUGUUCGCCUACAAAACACCUGACAAAACAUGUUUUCAUUGCACAUUUUAUGCAAAUUACGAUUGCCUUGUAUUAGAUUUUUGUAUAAUAUUAAAUCAUAAUAUUUCUAUAUA